rnacentral:lncRNA from 1 species
GCUAUGGUCACCAGAUGAUUGGAGCUUUCCAGAAAAUCCUGAGCUACGUUCUGGUGGAGUUGAAAAAAAGGACAAACGGCGCUUCUGCCUCUAGAGUGAUCUCAUGGUAUCUCUGGCCCAGACCUUGCCUGAGCUCCUGGUUCUUCUAACUACCUCCUGGACAACUCCCCUUGAUGACUGAUAGGUAUCUCAAAACUCGCCUUGGCUUUGGGAAGGUGAUGAAGUUCUGGAGACACAUGGUGGUGGUGGUUACACAACAAUGUGAAUGUACUUAAUGCCACUGAACUGUAUACUUAAAAAUGGUUAAAAUGGUAAAUUUAACAUAUAUUUUACUACAAUAAAGAAAUUUAUAAUUUUAUGAGACAAU